CUGUUGACUCCCACCCGCACAUGUACCAGGUAAUCCUAAUCCACCAAGGGCUGGACAAGAGGGAAGAAAUCACUAGCCACUAGGAUUUGAAACUGAGACCACUGACUACUGGGCUACACCCUUAACAACACAAGAACAACUACAUAGCACUUAAAGAU